rnacentral:rRNA from 1 species
GGAAGUAAAAGUCGUAACAAGGUUUCCGUAGGUGAACCUGCGGAAGGAUCAUUAAAGAGUAAGGGUGCUCAGCGCCCGACCUCCAACCCUUUGUUGUUAAAACUACCUUGUUGCUUUGGCGGGACCGCUCGGUCUCGAGCCGCUGGGGAUUCGUCCCAGGCGAGCGCCCGCCAGAGUCAAACCAAACUCUUGUUAUUUAACCGGUCGUCUGAGUUAAAAUUUUGAAUAAAUCAAAACUUUCAACAACGGAUCUCUUGGUUCUCGCAUCGAUGAAGAACGCAGCGAAAUGCGAUAAGUAAUGUGAAUUGCAGAAUUCAGUGAAUCAUCGAAUCUUUGAACGCACAUUGCGCCCCUUGGUAUUCCGAGGGGCAUGCCUGUUCGAGCGUCAUUACACCACUCAAGCUAUGCUUGGUAUUGGGCGUCGUCCUUAGUUGGGCGCGCCUUAAAGACCUCGGCGAGGCCACUCCGGCUUUAGGCGUAGUAGAAUUUAUUCGAACGUCUGUCAAAGGAGAGGAACUCUGCCGACUGAAACCUUUAUUUUUCUAGGUUGACCUCGGAUCAGGUAGGGAUACCCGCUGAACUUAAGCAUAUCAAUAAGCGGAGGA